rnacentral:rRNA from 1 species
CGCGGCCUAUCAGCUUGUUGGUGGGGUGAUGGCCUACCAAGGCGACGACGGGUAGCCGGCCUGAGAGGGCGACCGGCCACACUGGGACUGAGACACGGCCCAGACUCCUACGGGAGGCAGCAGUGGGGAAUAUUGCACAAUGGGCGGAAGCCUGAUGCAGCGACGCCGCGUGAGGGAUGACGGCCUUCGGGUUGUAGACCUCUUUCAGCAGGGACGAAGCGAAAGUGACGGUACCUGCAGAAGAAGGACCGGCCAACUACGUGCCAGCAGCCGCGGUAAUACGUAGGGUCCGAGCGUUGUCCGGAAUUAUUGGGCGUAAAGGGCUCGUAGGCGGUUUGUCGCGUCGGGAGUGAAAACUCAGGGCUCAACCCUGAGCGUGCUUCCGAUACGGGCAGACUAGAGGUAUGCAGGGGAGAACGGAAUUCCUGGUGUAGCAGUGGAAUGCGCAGAUAUCAGGAGGAACACCGGUGGCGAAGGCGGUUCUCUGGGCAUGACCUGACGCUGAGGAGCGAAAGCAUGGGGAGCGAACAGGAUUAGAUACCCUGGUAGUCCAUGCCGUAAACGUUGGGCGCUAGGUGUGGGGACCUUCCAAGGUCUCCGUGCCGCAGCUAACGCAUUAAGCGCCCCGCCUGGGGAGUACGG